rnacentral:rRNA from 1 species
UGCCCAAUGGGCCCAGCCUGAUGCAGCGACGCCGCUUAAGGGAUGACGGCCUUCGGGUUGUAACCUCUUUCAGUAGGGAAGAAGCGAAAGUGACGGUACCUGCAGAAGAAGCGCCGGCUAACUACGUGCCAGCAGCCGCGGUAAUACGUAGGGCGCAAGCGUUAUCCGGAAUUAUUGGGCGUAAAGAGCUCGUAGGCGGUUUGUCGCGUCUGCCGUGAAAGUCCGGGGCUCAACUCCGGAUCUGCGGUGGGUACGGGCAGACUAGAGUGAUGUAGGGGAGACUGGAAUUCCUGGUGUAGCGGUGAAAUGCGCAGAUAUCAGGAGGAACACCGAUGGCGAAGGCAGGUCUCUGGGCAUUAACUGACGCUGAGGAGCGAAAGCAUGGGGAGCGAACAGGAUUAGAUACCCUGGUAGUCCAUGCCGUAAACGUUGGGCACUAGGUGUGGGGGACAUUCCACGUUUUCCGCGCCGUAGCUAACGCAUUAAGUGCCCCGCCUGGGGAGUACGGCCGCAAGGCUAAAACUCAAAGGAAUUGACGGGGGCCCGCACAAGCGGCGGAGCAUGCGGAUUAAUUCGAUGCAACGCGAAGAACCUUACCAAGGCUUGACAUGAACCGGAAAGGCCUGGAAACAGGUCCCCCACUUGUGGUCGGUUUACAGGUGGUGCAUGGUUGUCGUCAGCUCGUGUCGUGAGAUGUUGGGUUAAGUCCCGCAACGAGCGCAACCCUCGUUCUAUGUUGCCAGCACGUGAUGGUGGGGACUCAUAGGAGACUGCCGGGGUCAACUCGGAGGAAGGUGGGGACGACGUCAAAUCAUCAUGCCCCUUAUGUCUUGGGCUUCACGCAUGCUACAAUGGCCGGUACAAAGGGUUGCGAUACUGUGAGGUGGAGCUAAUCCCAAAAAGCCGGUCUCAGUUCGGAUUGGGGUCUGCAACUCGACCCCAUGAAGUCGGAGUCGCUAGUAAUCGCAGAUCAGCAACGCUGCGGUGAAUACGUUCCCGGGCCUUGUACACACCGCCCGUCAAGUCACGAAAGUUGG